rnacentral:rRNA from 1 species
UAGAGGAAGUAAAAGUCGUAACAAGGUUUCCGUAGGUGAACCUGCGGAAGGAUCAUUAAUGAAUUCUGAAAGGGGUUGUUGCUGGCCGUCAGCGGCAUGUGCACGCCCUGAUCAUUAUCCAUCUCACACACCUGUGCACACACUGUAGGUCGGUUUGUGGCUGGAGUGGGCACUCUGUGUCUGCUUUGGUUGUAGGCCUUCCUAUGUUUUAUUACAAACUACUUCAGUUUAAAGAAUGUCACUCUUGCGUCUAACGCAUUUAAAUACAACUUUCAGCAACGGAUCUCUUGGCUCUCGCAUCGAUGAAGAACGCAGCGAAAUGCGAUAAGUAAUGUGAAUUGCAGAAUUCAGUGAAUCAUCGAAUCUUUGAACGCACCUUGCGCUCCUUGGUAUUCCGAGGAGCAUGCCUGUUUGAGUGUCAUGGAAUUCUCAACUCUAUUUGCUUUUGUGAAUAGAGCUUGGACUUGGAGGUUUAUUGCCGGUACACCUGUGAUCGGCUCCUCUUGAAUGCAUUAGCUCGAACCUGUGUGGAUCAGCUAUCGGUGUGAUAAUUGUCUACGCCGUUGCUGUGAAGCAUGUUAAUGGGGGUCGGCUUCUAAUCGUCCUUUUACUUGGGGACAAUGACUUUGACCUUUGACCUCAAAUCAGGUAGGAUUACCCGCUGAACUUAAGCAUAUCA